CAUCAAAUCAUCAAAAUAAUGCGACUUUCGUUAUGCCAUUUUUAUAAGAGCGUAGCUCUUAUUAUGGGGCUCUCCCGCAGUGGAGUUUUCGCACAAAAUUCGGACCGGUCGGACGAAAGUGUUUAUAACUUUGGUUGUAUUUGGGUUAGAGAAACGAUGUUUACCUUUUUAUAAUCUAGAAAUAUGAGGCUUUAAUUUGAUUAUUUUCAAAUUUUCAUUUGUUUUUUUAUGUAGGACUAGAACGCCUUCAAAGUCAAAAAAAAUGUUUUCUUCGAUUUUGGUAAAGGGAAUUCGAUACAGGUCGCAACGGUUUCUUGAAUAUUAUGAAAUUUAACAGAUCGAUUAAAAUUAAUGAGGACCUUAUCUGUAUAGUUUUUGGUUAUUCUCAGCACACGGGAAGUAUUUUUUUUAACGCUCAAAGUUUCAGACAUGUAUGAUAUUCCAGCCCCUCUGACGGUUUAACGGUGUUUUUCCGGAAAUAAUGACUCACAGAAGAUAGGUGCGCCUUAUCGAGAACUACAAUUUUUAUUAAGCACUUUUUUUGAAAAAAUGUUUUUUUUUUUGGGAAAAAAUUUAAAAAAACUCAAAAAAUUGAUUUUUUUUAGUUUUUUCUGUGUUAAAUUUUUACGUUGCAAAAUUAAAAAAAAAUUCAUUUGGAUUAAUUAAAGCUGCAUUCUUUUCGAAUAAAAUGGCGUAUAAAGUUUAACCGUAUCAUUUAUACAGGGUGAACAGUGCUCAAUUGAAAAUACCCUUUUUACACUUUUUUUUCCAGCCUUAAUAACUUUUUAGCGGCACCCGCUAGAACUAAAUGGCUUAUGGGCGGUUUGUAGCGUGUGAUAAGCAGAAUCCUUUGCAAUUUCAACCGUACUUUUAAGUAAAACCAUUUUUGAGUUAUGAAUUUUUUAACAUUUUUUGACUUUGGAAAUUAAUUGUGCGUAUCCGGUAUGUGAUAGAAAAACCAAAACCGAUCGAGCAGAUGCGCCAUUCAUUUUACUAUGACAUGCUAAAAUUUCAUUUUUUCGCUAUUUUUACAAGUACCCUAAAAGUAAUUUUUUUUCAAAAAAGUCCUAAGUACGAAAAAUCGCUAAAAAUCUACCCACACAAGAGCGACGUUCGAGUCACCUACAUAGAGAAAUGAAUAUUAAAAGAGUGUUUGAAAGGUAGCCUAAAUUGAUCAUCAAGUUUUAAACCUUAACCUAAGAUAUUUAGUUCGGUUAGACGGCAUCGAGGGCCAACUUCUGUCAUAAUUGUCAUUAUUAUUAUCGAUUUUCUUUCCUUCCUUGCCAUCACCCACCUUCGCAUCAUCGAUCGUCGCCAUUGCUUAUUCCUUUUUAUUUGGGCGUCCAUUGGGUGUGUUCUUUUGUUUUUUUCUCAACAAAAAAUAGUUAAAAAUGUAGCUUAAAGUCAUUAAAGUGUAAUUUCAUCAUAUAGGCAGAAGCUUUUUUGUUGUUUUAUUGUGUGGUUUCAGAUCCCUAGGAUGGGGUCUGACGAAAGGUAUCAUCAGUGCUUUGCUGCUAGGAAGUACCAAAAGCACAAUAAGUGAAACAACUUCCAUUCUACCAGGUCACUACUCAAGGAGGUACCUCACCUCGAUAAGGUGGGAGUAAGAUCCAGGGAUGCUCUUUGAAUAUUUAAGAAAAAGGACCGAUAACAUCUAGAAUUAAGGGUAUACAUCAGUGUCAACUAAUUUUUAAUAUCAUACUCUCCAUAAAGAAUAUUUUAAUUACAGGAUUAGUUUUUAUAUAUUACCACUCCCCUAACAUUUUUGGGUACCCUCUGUACAAAAAAGUAGGUAGUAAAUGUAAAAUUUUUAGGGCAUAUUUUUGAGAAAUAUAGGUCUUAUGUCUGUAAAUAAUUAAUUUAUAAAUUUGAUAAAUUGUAAUUUUUGUAUCAUAUCCUCAAAAUGUAAAAUGUAAAAAGCAAAAUACAUACCAUGGAGUGUUGUGCUAAAGCAGCACAAAAACAAAUUGUAUCAGGAUCCCUUUUAAGACAAUAAAUUAUAAACUUAC